AUUUAGCCCCGAUUGAAACGGCAUCCUUUUUUGUGCUAAACCCAAAAAUUAAGCUUAACUGAAAUUUAGUUUCAAAAACUAAGCACUAUGAUAUACUGCAAUAAGUUCAGCACAAGAAAGAUAUAGUGGAAAGCGGGAAAUAGC
rnacentral:sRNA from 1 species